GCGAAAACUUUACAAUGCUGGCAACAGCGAUAAGGGAACCUCGAGUGCCAGGUUACAAAUCUGGCUGUCGAGAUGCCUAAAAAGCGUUUCAUAGCAAGGGCCGGGCAAGACCGGUGCCAGCCGCCGCGGUAACACCGGCGGCUCGAGUGGUAACCGUUAUUAUUGGGUCUAAAGGGUCUGUAGCCGGCCGGAUAAGUCUCUUGAGAAAUCUGGCAGCUUAACUGUCAGGCUUUCAGGAGAUACUUUCUGGCUCGAGGCCGGGAGAGGUGAGAGGUACUUCAGGGGUAGGGGUGAAAUCUUGUAAUCCUUGAAGGACCACCAGUGGCGAAGGCGUCUCACCAGAACGGACCUGACGGCAAGGGACGAAAGCUAGGGGCACGAACC
rnacentral:rRNA from 1 species